rnacentral:rRNA from 1 species
CCUACGGGUGGCAGCAGUGAGGAAUAUUGGUCAAUGGCCGGAAGUCUGAACCAGCCAAGCCGCGUGAAGGACGACGGCCCUAUGAGUUGUAAACUGCUUUUGUAAGGGGAUAAAAUCUGCUACGUGUACCUGGCUGACGGUACCUUAUGAAUAAGCAUCGGCUAACUCCGUGCCAGCAGCCGCGGUAAUACGGAGGAUGCGAGCGUUAUCCGGAUUUAUUGGGUUUAAAGGGUGCGUAGGCGGUAUUUUAAGUUAGCGGUAAAACUUCGGGGCUCAACCCGGUCGUGCCGUUGAUACUGUAGGGCUAGAGUGUAGAAGAGGUAGGCGGAAUGAGUGGGGUAGCGGUGAAAUGCAUAGAUAUCACGCAGAACUCCGAUUGCGAAGGCAGCAUACCAGACUGCGACUGACGCUGAAGCACGAGAGCGUGGGUAGCGAACAGGAUUAGAUACCCUGGUAGUC